rnacentral:piRNA from 1 species
UUCUAAGGACAGUGCUCAUACAUUGGAGU